AAACGACUCUCGGCAACGGAUAUCUCGGCUCUCGCAUCGAUGAAGAACGUAGCGAAAUGCGAUACUUGGUGUGAAUUGCAGAAUCCCGUGAACCAUCGAGUCUUUGAACGCAAGUUGCGCCCGAAGCCUUCGGGCCGAGGGCACGCCUGCCUGGGCAUCACGCA
rnacentral:rRNA from 4 species